ACCAGGAUGGCCGAGUGGUUAAGGCGUUGGACUUAAGAUCCAAUGGAUGUAUAUCCACGUGGGUUCGAACCCCACUCCUGGUA
rnacentral:tRNA from 2 species